rnacentral:tRNA from 1 species
GAAAAACCACCGUUGUCUUCAACUACAGAAAC